UCAGCUUUCAACAGAUCAGGCAGGUCUCAGUUUCCUGCCUUCCUGGGAAGUGGGGAAAGGCUGAGAGGCCCCGUGCUGGGGGUGAAGCUAAUUCAUUAGUUACGCCUCAACAAGGACCGGGUGCCUGCAGUGCCAGCGUGAUUCAUCAUGAUGAUUGCCCCACUGCCAGCCUGCGUGGGCCUGGAACGCCAGCACAUUUUACCUUUACCCACUGAGAAGGGCCUGGUGGGAGGUGAAGGUACAGGAUCUGCCGAGAGCAAGAAAAAGACUCUGAGAAAGAAGAGGGCUGGUCCUCCAUGCUCUCGGCCCCAGGAAGCUCUGCCAGGCUGGUGCCGGGGUGGAGAGGCUCAUGUGGGCUCAUGUGGUGCUGCCUGUGCUGAUGGAGCCCAAGAGGGCAGCCUGGCGCUGGGUGCCAGCCUGAGCAUGUGGCGAGGCUGGGCUGCUGAGCCUCCUCCUCCACAGCCAAUGUUCCCUCAAACUGCUUGGGGGUGGGGGGAGGGACUCAUCCUCAUCCCAUUAGCCUGGCUGGGUAUUCCCUACCUUUCUGGUCUCUGAGAGACUUACCUCUUCCAAGAAGUCCUCCCGAAUGAGUAGAAGGGAGAGAGCUGGAUUGGAACUUAAGUGACAUCUGGGAGGAGCCUGAAGCCCCUCCGGUUGGGGCUGAGACUCCUAUACCCUAGGUCUGGUGUCUGGGUUCCACCUGGGUCCUCUACCUUGGCCUGGAUUCCUGCUUUCGUUUUGCCAGUCUCUCCCAGGAUGGGGGUGCAUGGCUGGUUCGUGGCUCAGAGCAACAUCUGCCUCUGUGUCCCCCCAUCAUCUGUCCGCCCCCUAACACCUCUUGCCAUAUUAGAAUUGCUAUUGCUCUGUCCUUUCAUUCAUGUAUCCAACAAAUAUAUAUUAUCUGAAAAAAAGCAUGUGCUGAAUAAUUUCAUUUGUGUGAAAUUCAAGAACAGGGAAAACUGAUCCAUAAGGAUAGAGGUCAGGAUCAUAGUUGCCUCUGUGAGGUGGGGAUUGACCGCAAGAGGCUUGAGAGAACUCUUGGGUUGAUGGAAAUGGGACAGGGGUGUGUACAUUUGUCAAAACGCAUCCAAGAAGACACUUACGAUCUAUGCAUUUCACUGUAUGCAAUGUUUGCCUCCACUUUUUUUGUUAAGUUUUUUUCAGCAAGGCGC
rnacentral:lncRNA from 1 species